GUGCGGUGGCGGCGGCGGCGGUGGCGGCGGCGACUGCUGCGGUGAAGGAGGAGGAGGAGCCGAGCGGGCGCUGGCACCGAGGCCUGACCAUGGACGAGGAAUACGAUGUGAUCGUGCUGGGGACCGGUCUCACCAUGCCUCUCGGCGUGUUGGUACUGGAAGGCCAUCCUGUGUCUGCUGGAUGCCCUGCCUCCCUCAAAGCCUCCGUUAUUUCACUCUCCGCCUUGUGAGGGGGACGGGACUCCUUUGCCCAGCAAGGUUGCAAUGGAGAGUGUGGUCGGAUGAAGCCAUCACCCCAAUUUUAGGAAUGCAUCCUGUCGGGCAUCAUGUCUGUGAACGGGAAGAAGGUGCUGCACAUGGACCGGAACCCCUACUACGGGGGCGAGAGCUCCUCCAUCACACCCCUGGAGGAGCUGUAUAAGCGUUUUCAGUUGCUGGAGGGGCCCCCUGAGUCGAUGGGCCGAGGCCGAGACUGGAAUGUUGACCUGAUUCCCAAAUUCCUCAUGGCUAACGGGCAGCUGGUAAAGAUGCUACUGUAUACAGAGGUGACUCGCUACCUG
rnacentral:lncRNA from 1 species